CUAUACAUGCAGUCGAACGAUACUUUCCAGCUUGCUGGGGAGGAAAGUGGCGCACGGGUGCGUAACGCGUAUGCAACCUACCUUAAUCAGGGGGAUAGCCCGAAGAAAUUCGGAUUAACACCGCAUAAAAACACAGGAUAGCAUUAUCCAAUGUUCAAAUAUUUAUAGGAUUAAGAUGGGCAUGCGUGUCAUUAGCUAGUUGGCGGGGUAACGGCCCACCAAGGCGACGAUGACUAGGGGAUCUGAGAGGAUGACCCCCCACACUGGUACUGAGACACGGACCAGACUCCUACGGGAGGCAGCAGUAAGGAAUAUUGGUCAAUGGAGGCAACUCUGAACCAGCCAUGCCGCGUGCAGGAAGACAGCCCUCUGGGUCGUAAACUGCUUUUAUUCGGGAAUAAACCUUAUUACGUGUAAUAAGCUGAAUGUACCGAAGGAAUAAGGAUCGGCUAACUCCGUGCCAGCAGCCGCGGUAAUACGGAGGAUCCAAGCGUUAUCCGGAUUUAUUGGGUUUAAAGGGUGCGUAGGCGGCUUAUUAAGUCAGGGGUGAAAGACGGUGGCUCAACCAUCGCAGUGCCCUUGAUACUGAUGAGCUUGAAUACACUAGAGGUAGGCGGAAUGUGACAAGUAGCGGUGAAAUGCAUAGAUAUGUCACAGAACACCGAUUGCGAAGGCAGCUUACUAUGGUGUGAUUGACGCUGAGGCACGAAAGCGUGGGGAUCAAACAGGAUUAGAUACCCUGGUAGUCCACGCCCUAAACGAUGAAUACUCGCUGUUAGCGAUAUACAGUUAGCGGCUAAGCGAAAGCGUUAAGUAUUCCACCUGGGGAGUACGCCCGCAAGGGUGAAACUCAAAUGAAAU
rnacentral:rRNA from 1 species